UGUAUCUCCAGGUGAGGUGAUUAGAUCCAAUGGUGUGUUUGUUGUACCUCUAGGUGAGGUGAUUAGACACAGCGGUGAGUCUGUGGUAUCUCCAAGUGAGGUGAUUAGGUCCAAUGGUGUGUUUGUUGUACCUCUAGGUGAGGUGAUUAGACACAGCGGUGAGUCUGUGGUAUCUCUUGGUGAGGUGAUUAGAUCCAGUGGUGAGUCUGUUGUAUCUCCAGGUGAGGUGAUUAGAUCCAAUGGUGAGUGUGUGGUAUCUCCAGGUGAGGUGA